ensembl:lncRNA
UAUAUUUUAUCCCUAGUGGGGUUUAUUUUGAUUUGGUUUGUUGUUUUUUUUUUUUUUUUUCAGGGAAUCAGAGACUGCUUUGGGUGGAAGGGACCUUUGAGAUCAUCUUGUCCCAACCCCCUGCCAUGGGCAGGGACACCUUCCACUAUCCCAGGUUGCUCAGAGCUCCCCCCCAACCUGACCUGGAACACUUCCAUGGAUGGGAAGGAAUUUUCUUUCAUCCUUCUUCCUUUAGGAGCACAUGGCCUUGCCUAAACUCUGUUCAGAUGAGCUCCAGCCCCUGAAGUCAGCAGGAGCAGCAGAGAUCUCACCAGGGAGAAGGUCCAAGGAAACACAAGCUGCAGGAGCUGGAGCUCUCUUUGUGCACAAAACCUUCCAGCACACCUCUCCCACCUCUCCAGGUGCAUCCUUGUCAGGAAAACUUCAUUUUUUUUUGUGACACCCGGAAGAAAUACAACACGAAGAAGGGAUUACACCGGGAAAGUGGAAGGUGUAGAUGUGGAAUUGGUUUGAGGGGACUGUCUGUGAGACUGACCUGUCUGUGAGGUCUCUUUUUGGCCUCUGAAGACUAAAAGGGAUGGGUUUUUUUCCAGCAUUCCCUGACAGAUGUUUAACAUUCACACAAAUACAAGCUCCAACCCACUACUCCCAGCAGCCACCAGCGUGUGAUGGAGAUAAGAGAUGAGCUGAGGUUCACAGCUCACUUGCAGAAUGACUCAUCCCUUUAAUUGCAUCCCUUUAAUUACAAAUUAGCCUCCUUGACCUUUUCUUCCUGCUCUUUCCUGAGUGUCACGGCACAGUGUGAUCUCUGUGCUGCCAGGAACAGAAGGAGGCAAUGUCUCUUGGUGGAAGGGUUUUUUCAGCUGAGGCCACACUCUCACCUCCCUUAAUCCUACGAGUUGUGUCAAAAAAAAGUUCCUCUUCUUCCUGAAAAGGUCUUUGUGACUUAGAGAUGAAAAUCACAAAGUCACCACCUAAAACGGCAGAAGGAACAAAAAUAGUCUGGCAAAUGAAGAAAUUUGGGCAAAAAAUCCUCAAAGAUUAGGUCUUGAAGACCUAAAAUUGUCAUUCCUGGACUUAUUUGCUGUAGGUUUUCCCUUUUUCGAGGUCCUUGAAACUGUUGGAAUCAGUGAUGUAACUGUUGGAAUCAGUGAUGUUACUCUGACACAGAACUAAAAAAAAAUAUAAGGCUUAUUCAACAAGAAUAUUCUAGCAGAAAUGCUUCUUGGCAAGAGCAGACAUGGAAUACCACCAGGAAACCUCCAGAAAAGCAUGGGAGAACCACUCAAAAAAUGGCAAUUCCUUGGCAGAAGUGGAUUUGGGAAGUGGAGUUCAUCUGUGAAUUUCCUUUCCGACAUCAAAGUCUUUGGGAACAGGAGUUUCUAAAAAGGAGAAAACACCGUUUGAAACUCUUUGCCUUUAUUCAUCAGUGAAUUCUUGAAAUGUUCUCCCCUGCGAAAAUGUUUGGAAUAACACCAGAUUCGCCCACUCUGUGCUGACAUUUAACUCAUCCCAUUAUGUGUAUUACGCCACCACUGCAGCGUUAUCCAGGAUAUAAUGUAAGGAACAUAUACACAGAUUUAGAAAAAUACAGAGCCUUAUAGAUUUAUUUAUAACAGUUCAUAUAUUUAUAAUUAACUUCAUUGUGAGGAGAGUUCUGCACGAAGUAGGGCAACAAUGGACUCCUCAGUUAUAUAAAAGGGCCUUGAAAAGCUCUUCCCUCCUCAGAGAAAAGUUUCCUGAGCUGCUCAGGGAAAGCUGCAUUCUUUAAAAAAAAAAAAUAAAGGCUGAAAGUGGAAAUUUUUUGAUUAUAAC